rnacentral:misc_RNA from 1 species
UUUCCGUAGGUGAACCUGCGGAAGGAUCAUUAUCGUACAAAAUGUGAGGGACAUGCGAGGGCUGUCGCUGACCCAAAAGUCGUGCACGCCCGAGUGUGUCCUCUUGCAUAAUAAUCCAUCUCACCCUUUGUGCAUCACCGCGUGGGUCCCCCUUUGGCUUGUUCGGAGGGGGGCUUACGUUUUCACACAAACUUUGUAUGCAGUGUAGAAUGUAUUUUUUGUUUUUGCGAUCACGCAAUCAAUACAACUUUCAACAACGGAUCUCUUGGCUCUC